rnacentral:rRNA from 1 species
UACGUAGGGUGCGAGCGUUAAUCGGAAUUACUGGGCGUAAAGCGUGCGCAGGCGGUUUGUUAAGCCAGAUGUGAAAGCCCCGGGCUCAACCUGGGAACUGCGUUUGGUACUGGCAAGCUAGAGUACGGCAGAGGGGGGUGGAAUUCCACGUGUAGCAGUGAAAUGCGUAGAGAUGUGGAGGAACACCGAUGGCGAAGGCAGCCCCCUGGGCCGAUACUGACGCUCAGGCACGAAAGCGUGGGGAGCAAACCGG